GACGAACGCUGGCGGCGUGCCUAACACAUGCAAGUCGAGCGAAUGAAGUUCCUUCGGGAAUGGAUUUAGCGGCGGACGGGUGAGUAACACGUGGGCAACCUGCCUCAUAGAGGGGAAUAGCCUUCCGAAAGGGAGAUUAAUACCGCAUAAGAUUGUAGUACCGCAUGAUACAGCAAUUAAAGGAGUAAUCCGCUAUGAGAUGGGCCCGCGGCGCAUUAGCUAGUUGGUGAGGUAACGGCUCACCGAGGCGACGAUGCGUAGCCGACCUGAGAGGGUGAUCGGCUACAUGGGGACUGAGACACGGCCCAGACUCCUACGGGAGGAAGCAGUGGGGAAUAUUGCACAAUGGGGGAAACCCUGAUGCAGCAACGCCGCGUGAGUGAUGACGGCCUUCGGGUUGUAAAGCUCUGUCUUCAGGGACGAUAAUGACGGUACCUGAGGAGGAAGCCACGGCUAACUACGUGCCAGCCGCCGCCGUAACAC
rnacentral:rRNA from 1 species